GGGGGUGUCAUGGUUUCGACGGGUAUGGUGAAGACCUGAGUGCAUGCCGAGGUUUCAGACACCUCGUAAAUCCUCUGAAAAACCAAGUACCUGCAAACGAUAACUUUGCAUUGGCGGCCUAAGGAACCUGGUUCCUUGCAGGCCCCCGCUUGUUGAUCAGACCUGCCUGAGCCGGGUCGACAGGUGUCGCAAAUCCAGGCUGGCUUGUUCAAGCGCCGCGGUAGAGCAAGCGAGAUUGGCGUGGCUGGUUCGUGAUGGGCCGUCUGCUGGCCGUUGAUCGGACGAGGAGAAAGAACAGCAGAACAAGCAUGUAGAGCUUGGGUGGGAUCUGUAUUCGGACGCGGGUUCGACUCCCGCCACCUCCACUC
rnacentral:sRNA from 1 species